rnacentral:misc_RNA from 1 species
GUGAGUAUUUUGUGUAUUAAAGGAGGGAUGUUGAUUAUUAUUGUCUUAUGCAUCCUUUGCCCAUUCCAUUGUCUUGAGAAUGUUCAUUUUUAGAAAAUGUGUCCUUGUUUGCUGAUGGCCUACAUCCAAGUGUUUUCUAGCCAAUUGAAAGUUGACUUAAAUUAUUUCUAAAGAGUUGUUUUCUAAUGGUUAAGAGUUCAAUUACUUGUUUCUGUGAUUCUGCCCGACUAUAUGGGUUUUUGCUGCUUAAAUUUUAGGCUUUAUAAUAUCUGAUUUGUUUCAUAUCUUGUCAGUAUUCUAUAUUUUCUAACUUUCCCAUGUGUAUUGGAAUUGCUACCUUGUUCACAUUUUAAAAUCCAGUAGCUGGGCUAUGGGCAAAGAUGGGGACCUGGACGAUCAACCCUGAGGCUGAGUGGCUUGAACUCAUUAGCAUUUUCUCUUAUUAUUUUUUAACGUUUACAACCCUUGAAUUUCUGUUCCACGCAUUUUGUGC